rnacentral:rRNA from 1 species
GGUGAACGCUGGCGGCGUGCCUAACACAUGCAAGUCGAGCGGUGCAGUUUGAAGCUUCGGUGGAAAGCUGCAUAGCGGCGGACGGGUGAGGAAAACGUAGGAACGUGCCCCUUGGAGUUGGAUAGCCACGGGAAACUGUGGGUAAACCGACAUAGACUCGAGAGAGUAAAGGCCGAAAGGCGCCAAGGGAGCGGCCUGCGGCCCAUCAGGUAGUUGGUAGUGUAAAGGACUACCAAGCCGACGACGGGUAGCCGGUCUGAGAGGAUGGCCGGCCACAAGGGCACUGAGAGACGGGCCCUACUCCUACGGGAGGCAGCAGUGGGGGAUUUUGGACAAUGGGCGAAAGCCUGAUCCAGCGACGCCGCGUGGAGGACGAAGCCCUUCGGGUGUAAACUCCUUCUCUCAGGGAAAAGGAAUGAUGGUACCUGAGGAAUAAGCCCCGGCUAACUACGUG